rnacentral:lncRNA from 1 species
GGAGAUUAAUAUCUCAUACAUGUCCCCUCUCUCUCGACUCAAACUCUAAUUUUUCGAGUCCUAAUUCCAGUCUAACGAUUCAUAUACAUCACUUCGUAUAUCUUUUGCUGUUUUAUCCUAUCUAACUAAAACAAAAAGGUCUCACUUCGGUUCUUCAAUUCUAAAUCGAAUUCUUAUGUUUCCACACUCCUGUUGAUGUUAAAACACAUUGUUAUAACAUCUCCUUCAAAUCUUCUCUCCUACUCGAUGAUCUUUCAUCGAAUCGAUUAUUUCUCUGCUCGACGGUGGCGAUUGUGUAUCUCCGAUGAUGAUUUCAGUCAAGUCUCAACGGUUCCUGCUCCUCCAAGUAAAGAAGAAGCUCAAGCAAACGGUGGCGGUUCCAAAAUCGGCAAACUCGACGGCGACUCACUGAGUCAACUCGGGCGAGUCGCUCACUUGCAGCAUAAAUUCUAACCCAAAGCUAGAUUAUUAGCCUUUUAAAGGGCUAAUACAGGUGAGUCCCUGCGUUGCUAGGCCAGGGCUUAGGUGAGGAGUUCUUACAACCCUAGUGGUUUGCUGAUUAGUUUUACUGUUCUAUUCGACUUACUGAUGGAAUUGUAAUAUCUCAUGAGAAUGUUUAGAAAUCUUAAUUGCUUAACACUGCCAUAUCGUGUGUGUGUUCAUUUGAUGUAUUUGGCGUUAAUUGUGUCUCUUAAUUGAGGGUGUUACUGUGACUCAUGAUUGAAGGCGUAAAUUGGGCCUCCUAUUGAGGCGUUAAUUGUGCCUUAUUUGAUGGCGUUAAUAGUGUCUUUUUUGAGAGUGUUAAUAUUUUAUUAAUUGUGCCUUAAUUAAGAGUUUUAUUGUCUCAAUCAUGAGUUAUCAUAACUGUGCGAAUAUUUUAUACACGUGAAAUUAUAAAUUAUUAAUUAGUGGAUAUAUUUUUUUAUUUUAUAAUAUAUAUAAAUCUAUUAUAUAUAUCGACUUAUAUUCUUCUUGGUUCCUUUGUUUUAUUUUCAGGAUUCUUAGAAGAAGACAGGUUUUUCUUUUCAGAUAUUAAAGUUUUAUUGUCUAAAUUUCUCCGGUUAUCUUGCAUGUCCAACGGUUAGAUAAUAAACUUUCUUGAAUGAAAGAAUUAUCACUGUGAAUUACCGAUUCAUAUUUGUGAAAUUU